rnacentral:rRNA from 1 species
CCUACGGGAGGCAGCAGUAGGGAAUUUUCCGCAAUGGGCGAAAGCCUGACGGAGCAAUACCGCGUGAGGGAUGACUGCCUAUGGGUUGUAAACCUCUUUUUUCAGGGAGGAAUAAAUGACGUGUACCUGAAGAAUAAGCAUCGGCUAACUCCGUGCCAGCAGCCGCGGUAAGACGGAGGAUGCAAGUGUUAUCCGGAAUCACUGGGCGUAAAGCGUCUGUAGGUGGCUCGACAAGUCAACUGUUAAAUCUUGAAGCUCAACUUCAAAAUCGCAGUCGAAACUAUCGGACUAGAGUAUAGUAGAGGUAAAGGGAAUUUCCAGUGGAGCGGUGAAAUGCGUAGAGAUUGGAAAGAACACCGAUGGCGAAGGCACUUUACUGGGCUAUUACUGACACUCAGAGACGAAAGCUAGGGUAGCAAAUGGGAUUAGAUACCCCAGUAGUCCUAGCCGUAAACAAUGGAUACUAGGUGUUGAACAGAUCGACCUGUGCAGUACCAAAGCUAACGCGUUAAGUAUCCCGCCUGGGAAGUAUGCACGCAAGUGUGAAAACUCAAAAGAGUAAGUUAGGACCGUGAGACGUACGCGAACCGAGGACCACCGAGGGAGGGUUAAGGAG